CAGCGUCUCCGUCAUACCAGAGCUGAUUGGAUUGAGCAAGUGCGGACAAUACUACAACGUGGGACUAUUAAGAGUUUUUGUUGAAAAGCUUUGAUUCUAGACCUUUACCGAAGGAAGGGUGUGAACCUUGAAGUUCUUAAAAAUAUGAACUAGAUGGGUUUUGGCCAGGUUUUUUCCCCCCCCCUUGGAUUCAAACACGAACCUCGCUGAUUCCAAGUGGCGAGCUACCAAUGGAUUGGUGAUUCCUACGAGCGUUACCAGGACGACUUGUGAUUCCACCUUCACUGUAAUCUUGUAGCGACACCGAGGUCGUGGGAUGGCCGGGUAGGACACCAGCUGCUCAAUGCCUGCUCUCCUCAAGAUGUGGGCAGCAUCUCGCUCCAGCGUCUCGUGGUGUCCUAUGACAUCGUAGUGGAUGUCACAUGGCGCACACAACUCUGCAUACGUCAUCCAGUGAAUGAUGUGCCUGCCAAACUGACGAUCCAUCCGGCGGCGGCCCUCAACGUCCCCCAGGCACAAACAACAGUCAGGACCCGUCCCCCCACCUGAAGGCGGAAGGAGGCUACCCUCUCGUCCACCAGGCUGAACCCCAACGUACAGGCGUCGAGCCGGGGGGCAAGAAGUAUACCCACACCUGCUCGACGCCUCUCACCGUGGGCAACUCCAGAGUGGAAGAGAGUCCAACCCCUCUUGAGAGGACUGGUACCAUGUGUGGAGGCGAGCCCGACUAUAUCUAUUCGGAACUUCUUGACCUCACACACCAGCUCGGGCUCCUUCCCUGCCAGAGAGGUGACAUUCCACGCCCCUAGAGCCAGCCGGGGAUCGGAUCGCCCAGCUCACACUGCACCCGACCCCUAUGGCAUCUCCCACAGGCGGUGAGCCCAUAGGAAAGGGGACCCACGUUAGCCUCUCGAGCUGUACCCGGCCGGGCCCCAUGGGUGCAUGCCUGGCCACCAGGCGCUCGCCUUCGAGCCCCACCUCCAGGCCUUGCUCCAGAGGGGGGCCCAGUGACCCCCAUCCAUGUAAGAGAAACCUCAAUCUAUUAACAUCUUUCUUCAUAGGGGUCUUUUUGCCAUGCUUUGUCUGGUCCCUCACCUAGGACCUGUUUGCCAUGGGUGACCCUACCAGGGGCGUGAAGCCCCAGACAACUUAGCUCCUAGGAUCCUUGGGACACAAACCCCUCCACCACGAUAAGGUGACUGGAGGGGAGGGGUUUACAAUGGCAAUGGACUUAAUAUAUCAACAAUAAUUACAGGCAGCACAUGCCAACAAUGGUAAGGAAACAACAAGCACAAAGCAGUACUGCAAAAAAAGAAUUGCUAUGUCUAUUGACACCCCUUCUCCCCAUACUGCAACCAAACCAUAUGUUUAUACAAUAGUUUUAAUUUAUGAAUAUUUUGGCAUAGCUUGCAAUGUGUAUCCAGACUAUUCUGCAAUGUCACACCACAUACAGACACAGAAACUCUUACGGGUAGUUCGGAAAUUGGGCAAUUUGAAAUCUCCUUACCCUUUUUGUGACUGCGCUCUAUUAUUUUAAACCAACUUUUUAAGUUACUUGGUAACAAGUUGUUGAAUGCUUUGAAUAAAAUAAUUAUUGUAGAAUAUUUUAGAAGAUCAGGAAUCUUUAGAAACUUGU